UCAACAAGAACCAUGGGUGAAAUGUGAGAAACGCUGCUUUAAAGAGUACGUUCUACCUGGAUUUUUCAACCUAAAAGGCACAAGCAGUAGAGAGGAAAUUCUGGUCACAGGUACACCUUCAUCCAGAGCACCUAGACUCAUCCUGUCCAUUUAUAAUCCCAUCAGGAGUGUGAGAGUGCUCGUUCAGUUUUGCCAGGAGUAGGAAUGAUCCUUUUGAAAAAUUUUCCCUGAAUGAUUAUAAGUGUUGUGGAAGCUCUGAAAAUCAGCUGUCUGGGAACACCACCACCACCACCACUGUGACCAACAAAAAUCAAACCGGAAGUUUAGCCCCCAAUAAUAUAGGAAGCAGAUUCAUGGAGCAGAUGCACUUGUUAUGAAAACAGUAAAUCAUGCAUACUGAUAAAUGAAUGAGACUUGAUAAGGACAUCGUAUCCUACUGUGUGAGAAGGUGGUGCUGUAAUGUGAAAAAUACAAUCUCAUGAAGUACGUUGUGUCCUGAAAAGGACAAGGGGAUCAAUAAAAAACACAGUUCGCAUACUCCCAGCAAAAAACCGGGUGUUAGCACUUCUGAAGGAUUUGGUUGUUUCAUGAGAUGAAAAAUGUCUACUUUGAGGCCUUAAAAUAUUGAUGCCCUAAAGAGUUCUUCCCUACUGCCACACAGCAUCCGUCUUAGAACAGAUCAUGGUGAGAGGCUCCAGAGGCCAAGGGAAUAAGUUAAGGGGAUGCUGCUUCUCACUGUGCAGGAAAUAAUUCUUCUUAAGAGGCUAUAUAUCAGUCCAGAAAAAGCUGACAAGCUUUUUAAAAAAUACAACAGAAACAAACUAAAAGCGAUUCAUUCCUGUCAUCUUCUUUACAUCUUGAACUCAAAUUAAAAAAAAAAUUGCCAAUAAAAAUAUACAAGUCUGUGUGUCUUAUAGUAACUAGGUAUCCAUAUCUGCAUGUGUAUAAAUUCCAGUGCAAUCCCCAGAGAUCUCCUAUGACAUAAGUAAUGGUAACACGUUUGCCUCUGGAGAGUGAAACCUGGUGCUGGGGUACCAGGGUAAGAGAUGUAGUUAUAUUUUUUCCAUUAUGUACUGUUUGAGCUUUAAAAAAAUUAUGCAUGUUUUAAUUGUUUUUUAAAAAUUCAUGAUAACUAUGUAAAUAAAUAGAUAUAUAAAAUGUAUUGGGACAUUUGGUGACAUCUGUACACAUUUUUUUGUAGUCACAAUUGGGGGAGGGCUCGUCACUGGUAGUUAGCAGAUGGAGACCAAGUCUGCUGUUAAACAGCCUACAAUGCAGAGGACAGCCCCCUACAACCAAGAAUAUCCAGCUCAAAAGGUCAACAGUGCUGCUGUUGAGAAAACUCUAAAUGAUGGACCCUUACAUACAGAACAUAAACACUCAGAGUAUGAAUUAUAUAAACAACUACUACAGUGGACUCUUGGCUCCUUAUCACUCCAGACAGAGUAUAUCAUCCAAAGAGACAGGACAUGGAGUUGAUCUACAGACCCAACACCUCCCACUCUCAAGCAGUUUCCUGCCUGCUUGGGGAGAAGCAGUUUUCAUCAGUGGCUCUUGGCAGGGGAAGCAGUAACAGCAAGAUCUGGACCCUUCCUGUUGCGUCAAGCACCUUGGAGAGAUGACCAUAAGGUCCUCUCUUCAUGGGACUGUGUGGGUGGGAGAGGGCAAUCAGGAGCUGCAUUGUUCCAAUUAUUCUUGUUUAAACAAGUCUGGUUAAAAGCCAUUCACACACUACAUCUCAAAUACAGAACUAGCAGCUGUAUUCAAACUUUGUAUUAUAAUCCGGUCGCACCAUCCAAUUGUUUAUUUGAGAUCACAGGCUUCAAUUAAUUUAGGGGACAGUAUAGUGAUCAAAGGAGAAAAGUUUCUUACAAAUCAGUAUUUGUUUAGAGGGUCUUGUGUCCUUCCAAAGAUUCCUUGUCAAGGCAACACACAAAACUUCAAAUAAUGAAGUACUUCAUGGCUUUUGCACUGAUGACAACAUAAAGGAAGAAUGACUCUUGCCUCCUUGAACCAUAUCAUCUAUUUAGCUUAAUUUCAACUUGUCCUGAUAUUAUGCUUUCCUUUUUUUAGUCAGCGAUAUUUUUAUCCGUGUUUAAUUUUGCAUUAUACUGUAUUAUAACAAAAUCAUAAAAUGUUUGAGCUAAAAGGGAUCUUAAAAAUCACCUAACAAAAUCCUCACAUUUUAUAGAUAAUAAAAAUAGCUACUCAGAUA